rnacentral:rRNA from 1 species
UACGUAGGGGGCAAGCGUUGUCCGGAUUUAUUGGGCGUAAAGAGCGUGUAGGCGGCUGGGUAGGUCUGCUGUGAAAACUCGAGGCUCAACCUCGAGACGUCGGCGGAAACCCUCCAGCUAGAGUCCGGAAGAGGAGAGUGGAAUUCCUGGUGUAGCGGUGAAAUGCGCAGAUAUCAGGAAGAACACCCGUGGCGAAAGCGGCUCUCUGGGACGGUACUGACGCUGAGACGCGAAAGCGUGGGGAGCGAACAGG